rnacentral:guide_RNA from 1 species
AAAACACCACUGACAUCGAUAAGUAUAUAGUGAAGUGAU